GCUGGGCGUGGUGGUGCACGCCUAUAGUCCCAGCUACUCGGGAGGCUGAGGCAGGAGAAUUGCUUGAACCCAGGAGGCGGAGUUUGCAGUGAGCCAAGAUUGUGCCACUGCACUCUAGCCUGGAUGACAGAGCAAGACUCUGCCUCAA
ensembl:misc_RNA Metazoa_SRP Metazoan signal recognition particle RNA